rnacentral:misc_RNA from 1 species
GCUCCGUAGGUGAACCUGCGGAGGGAUCAUUACAGAGUUCAUGCCCUACCGGGUAGAUCUCCCACCCUAUGUUAUUAUUACUUUGUUGCUUUGGCGGGCCGUUAGGCUCCGGCCCGACUACCGGCCCCGGCUGGUAAGCGCCCGCCAGAGGACCCAAAACCCUGAAUAUUAGUGUCGUCUGAGUACUAUAUAAUAGUUAAAACUUUCAACAACGGAUCUCCUGGUUCUG